rnacentral:rRNA from 1 species
CACGUAGGGCGCGAGCGUUUGUCCGGAAUUAUUGGGCGUAAAGAGCUCGUAGGCGGCCUGUUGCGUCCGCUGUGAAAGCCCGGGGCUUAACCCCGGGUCUGCAGUGGAUACGGGCAGGCUAGAGGUAGGUAGGGGAGAAUGGAAUUCCCGGUGGUAGCGGUGAAAUGCGCAGAUAUCGGGAGGAACACCGGUGGCGAAGGCGGCUCACUGGCCCGGUACUGACGCUGAGGUGCGAAAGCGUGGGGAGCAAACAGG